CCCGCCUACCCUGCAUUUCUCUUUCGCUCGUCUCAGACGGGGCUCUCUCCCCCUCCUUCCUCCUCCAUUUCUCACAACAGCAAUGUUCUCUUUCGCCUUUCUCCUUAGUUGUUUUUCUUUCAAACUGUUGAUUAUAAUUUUUUUUCCUUUUUCUCUGCAUUUUGUUGUUACUUUUUAUAUCUUAUUUAUGAUUUGCUUUCGGCUGCUUUGUACUACUGAGUUUUUCUUGCAACAUGUUGGCUUUUAUAAUACAUGCUUGUUUAUGCGUUUGGGUAUGUUGUUGUUGUUGCUUGUUUAUGUAUUUGAGAAGACUUAAAAUGUUAGGGUUUUACAACUUGUGUCGUCGAUUGACAACUCGAUUAUAGAAAAGGAUAACGUGUGAAUAUCUCAGGUUUGCAAUUUGUAAAAGAUUAGGGACUUUUGUGGAGUGCGGCUUUAUGGGUUAGCUUGUAUCAGGGGUACGAGGCCUCUGCAAUUUAUUGUCAACCCAGAUGGCUUAAUGAUUUCUUGGAUCCAAUCAGAUGUUUUAUAAGAAUUUUAGCUGCUUAGAUAUAUUAACUAACCUACUUUCUCUACUUUUUGGUAUAGCUAUUGCAUAUGGGAGCUUUUCCCAAUAUCAAUAAGAUAACUCACCUUUUCAAAAAAUAAAAAGAUAAGCCUACUUAUAUAAAAAUAAAAUAAAAAGAUAUAUGGAUAAACCAGUUUAUCAUUAGUGAUCUACCUGAGUACUCGUUGCUUACCCCAAAUUCAGAGGCAAAGUGAAAUUCUGAUGCACUAUCUCUAUCUCUAAUAAUUGUCGAAUCCCUUAAUAACAAUGACACUGAAGAAAAUUCAUGAGAAAGUUUGAUAUGAUGAGAAUAACAUUGUAGAGUCCAUCUAAAAAACCUGCAAGUUCUCGGAGCUCUACAUCAUUAAACACUUACCAAAUUCUUACCAAUUUCAUCAAAAACAAACAUCAAACAUAUCCUAGAUCAGAACUUGGAGCACAUAAGUUUAGUUGAAUAAUUGUUUUAAAUAUUGAUAUUAGACUUGCACAUUCUUCUCAAUCUUAACAACUUAUGCCGAGUGGCCAAUAGAGAGUAGAGGAAAAGAUGCUACCAGAUUUUAUUUGCACUGAAUGGGAUGCGAGGUAUGUGGUCUCUUUUUAUGUAAGCAUGUUUGAUAUGUGCCUUUGGCGCAUGUUGUGGACUCUGGUAUCGACCUUCAGCUUUUUUCCCACCUUGGGAUGGUUGCAAACCUUGUUAUCUAACUUGUAGCUAAACUUUAUUAUGUUGGAUGUGAAAAGAGGCAUGUUGGCUCUUUUAUGUGAAUUUAGUGUUCGAAUUCUGUUAUCAAGCUUGUUGUCAAACUUCAAUUGCCUUGGCUGGAAGCAAGACAUUUAGUCUCUUUAUGUAACACAUAUUUGUUGUUUGUUUUGGGUAGAUAUUACAGACUCUAUUACCUUAUUUGUAACCAAAUAUUUUAUGUUGGGUAGGAAACAGGAGCGACACAAAAUUUUCAUCAAAGGGAUUCAACAUUUGAAGAAGUAAACGGUGAAAGUUUCUGGUGCAUUCUUAUUCUAAUCCACUUUAUUUUUAUUGGACAGAGGAUCAAGACUUUCAGUGAACUAAUGUUUCGUUCAAAACUUGGGGAGAUUAAUGCUCGGUUAAGAAAGGAUGGGUUGAUAAGUACCUUAUCCUCUUCUCGUUUAUGAUCCAAACAUUUUGGUCUUCAAGGUGUUGUUGUUGCUUCGAAUCUUGUGGUGUGGAUAUGUUAUAAUAACAAAAUUAACCUGGAUAGGAUUGAAUCUAGAGUGGUUAAUCUCAUAAAGCGACAUGACUCGAUGCAUAAGGAUUUCCGAAGGAAAGGAAACAUAGCUGAAUGUGAAGCUGUAAAAGCAAUACUUCUACCUUUUCCAUAGAUUUCUGUUAAACCAGUAGGGCUAGUUGCCCUGAUGGUUGAGGAUGAAGAAGGAGAAGGGGAGGUGAAAAAGAAGAAAAACAAGGAGGAGAUUACACCAGAUUGGUCGCAGGUCUUGACCCUCAAGAAAACAACUGAAGAAAAAAUUAAAAAGGAGGGAGUUAUUGGCAUUGGAUCUGUUGGAGCUUUGCUUGGGGUAGCUGUUGGGAUAGUUGCAUCUUCUUUCUUCCGCAAGGAUUGAUUUGCAUUGGAACCAAUUUCUUUCUUGUUGAUCCUAUUUCUUAUCCUUUAAAGUCAUUACGUAGCUUUAAUGAUAUUAGUCAUCCAAUUUUGGCGCAGUAUGUUUGUUGUAAGAAUAAAACAAGUUUCUUUGUAAGAUUUUGCAUACAUUGAUUUA